rnacentral:tRNA from 1 species
GUCGUUGUAGUAUAGUGGUGAGUAUUUCUGCUUGUCACAUAGGUGACCCGGGUUCAAUCCUCGGCAAUGGCG